rnacentral:rRNA from 1 species
UAAACUAGGAUUAGAUACCCUAUUAUUUUAAAGGUUAAUCUUAAAUAUCAAAUUAGUAUUAGUUAUUUUCUUGAAAAUUAAAAAAUUUGGCGGUAUUUUAGUCUUUUCAGAGGAACCUGUUCUAUAAUUGAUAGUCCACGAUAAUAUUUACUUUUAUUAUUAGUUUACAUAUCGUCGUAGUUUAAAUAUUUUAAUAGAAAAUAUUUAAAAUUUUGUAUUAAAGAAUAAAUCAGAUCAAGGUGUAGUAUAUAUAAAAGAAGAGAUGGGUUACAUUAAAUUUAUUUUUGAAUAAUUUUUUUUAAAAAAAUUUGAAUUUGGAUUUGAAAGUAAUUUUUUAUAUUUUUUUAAGAUGAUUUAAGCUCUAAAAUAUGCACACAUCGCCCGUCGCUCUUAA